CUCGACACGCAGGUUCAACAGAUCUCACUCUUCACAGCGACUCAGCAGAGGCAAAAGGGGAACGUUUGUGGACACUUGACAGCUUUCAGAGACUGCUAUGACAUCUCGCAGGUGGUUCCACCCCAACAUCACCGGAAUCGAAGCAGAGCAGCUCCUGUUGACCCGGGGCGUCCACGGCAGUUUCCUGGCCCGGCCCAGCAAGAGCAAUCCGGGGGAUUUUACCCUCUCUGUCAGGCGCAACGAUGAGGUGACCCACAUUAAGAUCCAGAACCAGGGUGACUACUACGACCUGUACGGAGGCGAGAAGUUUGCCACGCUGGCCGAGCUGGUGCAGUAUUACACCGAACAACAGGACCUCCUGCGCGAGAGGAACGGCCAUGUCAUCGAGCUCAAGUACCCUCUCAACUGCAAGGACCCCACAUCUGAGAGGUGGUACCAUGGGCACCUCUCUGGGCGAGACGCAGAGAAGCUGCUCACAGACAAAGGCAAAGCUGGUAGCUUCCUGGUACGGGAGAGCCAAAGUAAACCGGGCGACUUCGUCCUCUCAGUUCUCACCAAUGAGGAGAAGCACGAGAACGUGGACCGCAAGACAAAGGUCACCCACGUUAUGAUACGCUUCCAGCAGGACGGAAAAUACGACGUGGGCGGCGGCGAGAGGUUCGACACCCUGGCUGACCUGGUGGAUCACUACAAGAAGAACCCCAUGGUGGAGAAAAGUGGCAUCGUGGUGCACCUGAAACAGCCCUUUAACGCCACGAGGAUAAAUGCAGCCAACAUUGAGAACCGGGUACGAGAGCUCAACAAAGUAGCAGACAACUCUGAGAAACCCAAACAAGGAUUCUGGGAGGAAUUUGAGGUACUUCAGCAGCAGGAGUGCAAACUGCUGUAUCCCCGGAAAGAAGGCCAGAAGCCAGAAAACAAGAGUAAAAACAGAUACAAGAAUAUCCUCCCCUUCGACACGACUCGAGUAGAACUCAGGGAAGCAGAUCCAGAUGUUCCUGUUUCAGACUACAUCAAUGCCAACUACAUCAGAAGUAUGCAUGAAGAGGGGCGCCACGUGGAUGAGGGCAAAGUCUUCAUCGCCACCCAAGGGUGCCUACAGAAUACGGUCGUUGACUUCUGGAAGAUGGUGUAUCAGGAGAAUACGCACGUCAUCGUCAUGACCACCAAGGAGGUGGAGCGAGGGCGGAACAAAUGUGUGCGUUACUGGCCCGACCUCCUCUGCACUAAGGAGUUUGGGAAGGUGCUGGUGAGGAACGUGGACGAGCGGCCAGCACAAGACUACAUCCUGAGGAAGCUGGAGGUGACCCGUCUGGACCGGAAGGAGCCUCUGAGGUACAUCUGGCACUACCAGUACCUGAGCUGGCCGGACCACGGGGUGCCCAAUGAGCCCUGCGGUGUCCUCUGGUUCCUCGAGGAGGUCAACCGCACCCAGAGUACCAUUCCAGACACUGGACCCAUUGUCGUCCACUGCAGUGCAGGCAUCGGCAGGACGGGCACCAUCAUCGUUGUCGACAUCCUUAUUGACGUUAUCAACCGCCAAGGUCUAGAUUGUGACAUCGACAUCCCGAAGACCAUCCAGAGGGUUCGGCAGCAGAGGUCGGGCAUGGUGCAGACUGAAGCCCAGUAUAAGUUCAUCUACAUGGCCGUGCAGCAGUACAUAGACACGGCUCAGAAGAGACUGGAGGAGGAGCAGAGGAAUAAGCUGAAGGAGAGGGAAUAUUCCAAUAUCAAAUAUCCCCAGAUGACCAACUCAAGGUCCAAACCCAACAUGGCAUCUUCGCGCUCUUCUUCUGUGAUGACAAACGAUGAUUCGUCGAGUGUGUACGAGAACAUCAACUUUAAAAGCCCUCAGACGUCUUUCAGCAGUAACACCAGGAGGUAAAAGCAUCGUCGACCUCCACAUCGCUCUGCCUCCCUAUCAGAUUUAUCCGUUCCUCUUCUGUCCGUCACAUUCCCAUGAACGCGAUUUCUCAGGACGCCUUGAGGGAAUGUCUAAAAUACAGUAUAUCUCAAAAUUUCAGCGGAGGUGUCGCUUCAUCAGCGCCUGAAAACCCCUCUUGGGGUGGAGGGAGAGUGUUGCUCUGACUAACCCCACAUCAGUGGACCCUGCCUGGGCUGCAGGUGGCGAGCUGACCCCCUCUCUCCUGCUGGACCGAGUCAAACCUUACCCUCCAUAGAGAGGAUGACUCCACAGCAUAAUGCUCUCGCUCAGGGCCCUUGUCCCUCUACCCUGUCUUUCUCCCUCCACCCCUCCAGCCUCUUCCUCUCUUAACCAGCGCAAGUGCCUUGACACAGGAUGUGUCUGUAAUCUAACCUCCCCAAAACCUGCUGUUACAUCUCUACUUUUACUACUUCUCCAUAUUCUGGAAAUCCAAGUUGACGUGUGAAAGUUUUUCCCUGGGAUGACUGACAUUAAACAUGGAGUGUGCCCCAGCCUGAACUGUCCAGAACUGUCCAGAACUGUACGGGACCCGAGAAGAGGUCAAAGCUAAGCCGUUUGUCUGCUCGUUGCCAGAAAUCACUGUUUCGCUAUCCCUCUUUCUCCAGCUGUGCUGCCUUUCAUUUGAACUCCAACGUAAGACUCUUUCUGCGGCAUUCUGUCUCUCCAGCUGUAGUGGUGUUUAAUGUGGCCGCUGAGUGAUAGCAGGGACCGUUACGUAACCUGCUACAGGCCCCUGAGACGCAGGUAAAGGGCAAGCAAGCCCUCUCCUCCAAAACGUUUUGACAUAAUAAUUUCAGGUGUAAAUAAUAAUUAAAAGAUGUGACGGAUUGUCAAAGUGUUAAAGAGUUGUACAGUGUGUACAUGUGUACAUGUAUCUCCUGCAAAUCAGCUGUUUUGUACUUUACCCGUCACCUCAUGGCCUCCAGCUGGUCCCACUUUGAGUUCAAACUCAUUUCAUCAAAAUGUUUUUUUCUGUCCUUUCAUUAUUCAUCAGCCUGUUUUCAUGAUUCUUUGGUGUUUGUGUUGAUACUGUGGCUAUCAUGGUUGUAUAACGUAUGAGAUUUAAAAAGUAUAAAUGUAUAAAGGAGCAUUACAGUGGAAGAGAUCAUGUCUAAGCACACUUGUCCCAGCAGCAUCCCCAGUGCUAAGUUUGAUUUACUGUUAGAGUGUAACAGUAGUCCACAUCUGACAGGAAACAGGUGGGGAGGAUUCCUGAAUGGCUGUUUGGAGUUGAGCUUGGCUGACCGCCGUCUCUCAGCUUUGGUUUGACUGUCUGUCCUCGUUAAUCAGCAGGUCUGAUGCCGUUCAACAUCUGUGGGAGGAGAUGGUCACAAGGAGACGAGGGAAAGGGGACGAUUACAGUGCGGGCCAGAUGGCCAUCUGCCUGAGAUUGAAGAAUAGAUUUGUCUCCGAAAAGUAAUUUAGAAGAUGGACGUAAUCCAGGCUUGAUGAUAGUGCUGCGAGUAAGCCGACGUCAUUGAUGCGAUAACGAAGACGGUGGUGCCGUGGAGCACUGAGCCCUCUGCACUGUCUGGCAGAUUGUUUGCUAUUUUUAGCCUCCAGGAUCAGCACCAAAGUAUGCCCCUCAAAUACGAGUGCAGAUCUGACCUAGCUUGUUUAAAACGUAACGACUUAAUCAUCCUGAAGUCCUUAAAAAACUCACAAUAGGAAGAUAACGUGUGUUCAGCCUUUUCUUUUAAUUUAAAGUAUUAAAAUAAACCAUGAACGAGCGGCACCUGUUGGUGUUUGUGCUCAGACCAUUCCUCUUUCUGCACCAGCAGAAAUGUUCCACUCAGCAGGUCGAGGACACUCGCAGCAUGAUUUGUCUUCUUCACUCAUAAAUUGGCCAGUUUCUGCUGCUGCAGCUCGUGAUUCUUAUUUUUUUUUUCAUUUAAAAUACAGUAUGUAAUGAAAAUGAACUGGAGUAAAAGUACUCCGUCGUUGCACUGUAAUAAACUGUCAUUUGAUACUGUCGACCUUGUGCGGGUUAUUAAAAUACAGUAAUAGUAUAACCUGCAGCAGCCACAUCGUCCUGUGUGACUUCUGACUUCUAAAGGCUUGAAAUAGCAAAGAGUCGUUUUAAUAAGGUCUCAGCUGAAACCUUUGUCCGUCUACUGUUCUUCCCAUAUAAAUUGCUGCGAAUGUAUUUUAAUGGGUGAUUUCUUUAGUGAAUAAAAGCUAUGUGUUAUGAACUGUGUGGCAUUGAUGCCCUGUGUCAGUGAAGGCCUGUGUCUAGAAAUAUACUGCACCACUUCAUGUACUUCAGUUGAAUUUGGACGAUGAAGACGUUUGAAUUCUUCUGUUUCUUUCUCCCUUUUCUCCCUUUUCCCUUCUGAACUGUGAUCUUUGUCUGACGAAUGACAGAGUACUCUUGUGGGUUUUGUUUCUGUGUCUCUGAACCAUCUUGCGCUGUGGAUCAUUUAAAUUUUUGUUGUAUUUCACUUUGCCUCUAUGGGUCAAACUUUUUUUCUUUUUAUGAUAUGGUGAAACAUCAAUACUUGAAAGUGUGAAACUGCUGAAUCUUUGGCCUCCGGCUGUGUGUGGAUGUCUAUUGGCUGUGGAAGUAUUGUUGGUAGUGCACUAGACUUUUCAGUGUUUUUUUGUUUGUUUUUCUUGUUUCAUUUCAAAUUGUAUUUCUAAUUGACUGUUUUAUCCACUCUUGCAUUUUGUAUUGUGUCUGAAUUGUUAUUAUUACUAUUAUUAUUAUUAUUAUUAUUAUUAUUGGUGUAAUUUCACCAUUGAUAAGUACAUUUUGGGUUGAACUAGCAUACAUGCAGGUAUGCAGUAGUAACACGGUAUUUUCUUUCUGCUUGUCCUCUUACAUUUACUUGAACAUGAUGUCUUUUUGUUUGAUUCCUCGUUCCUGUCGGCGGCAGUAUGCCUGAAGUGAGUGGUGGUGUACGGAGUGCUCCCGUGUUGUUCAGUGGAGGCUCUUCCCCCUUUUCCCCUCUUCUUGCACUGGCUCUGCCCAGACGCCUUUUUGCUGUAUAGGCUACAACAUGCUGAUGCAAUGAGCGGCCAGAAAUGGCAUCAAAAUGGCUUAUUGUCAUAUAGUUUUAAUAAAAAUCUAUGAUGGCACUAUAUUACGUUACACGUGGAUUCUGCUUAGUUUCUGUUUGCUUUUCAUUUUCUACCUCGGGGAAGGAGAUGACAAAUACAAUUUUGGGGAAAAGGGUUCCUGUGCUGCUCUGUUGCCUCUUCACGUGGAGAAGAGCUCUACUGCAUGGGCUGACAGCAUUGCUCAAUGAACACGAGUUAACUAAUAUUAAUAUUGAAAAGCAAAGCAGGAAAUACACUCCAGAAAAACAGCAAUUUAAACGGUAAUGACCUCAUGGGUGAAGAAGCCUGUAGAAGUGGUGCUUUAUAACUCACGAUAAAAUGAGAGGAAAACACAAGAAUGAGUUUGAAGUUAGUGCUGCUGUUAUUUCCAGCAUUUUAACACAUGAGCCGCAUUAAGUGUUGAAUAAAACUGCUUUAUUUGACUGCUAUCCUCAAGGAAACAGGCUGAUUAUUCUGCUUUAUUGGAGAGCAGGAAAAACUUCAGAGAACUUCAUAAUUUGAGUCUUUUUUGAAAAUGUGUAAAUGCCCUAGAGAAAAAUAAUGCCACGUAACAAGAAUCAGAAAUCCUUUAUCCUUUAUAAUUCCAAAACGGGGAAAUUUACAAGAAGCUUUUAUUCAUUCUUUUUACAUAAAUAUUUCUUAUUGUCUUGUUUUUUUAAUCUUUAUUAAUUUAGGGAAGAAUAUCCACAACCCAUUUUGAAGCCAUGACUGAGCCUUUAUUUUAUCUGCAUCUGUUUAUUAACCGUGUUUACUGGCAAGGCUUCAGGGAAGUAGCACUGUCAUUAUGCCCGCUCCUAAAUGACUGUGAGAAUUUAACAUAAUUGUCUUAUCAACCACGUGUCACAAGUGAACUACUUGGAAAAACCCCACAUCCAAACCUUUCCUUGAUCUAACGCACCUAAUCCAGGAAUAAAUAAAGCAACUUCCUGCCAAGCCGAAGGAGUACUGGUCUUUUAUGGUCUUGUGUUUAAGGUUCAGAUAUUGAGGAAAUAAUAAACAGCGGUCGGUAAACUUCUCGUUGACUUGACCCAAUAACUAACA